rnacentral:lncRNA from 1 species
GUGAAAGCUCAUCUCUACUAAAAAUACAAAAAUUAGCUGGGUGAGUUGGUGCACACCUGUAAUCCCAGCUACUUAGGAGGCUGAGGCAUGAGAAUCGCUUGAACCCAGGAGGUGGAGGUUGCAGUGAGGUGAGAUUGUGGCACUGCGUUCCAGCCUGGGCAACAGAGCAAGACUCAGUCUUAAAAAAAAAAAAAAAAGACAGAAAAGAAAAGAAAACCUGAAAAUAAUAUUUGCACCUAUUCAAAUUUCUAUUUUGUGAUGAUUAAUUUUAUGGGUCAACUUGAAUGGGCCAUGGGGUGCCCAGAUAUUUGGUUGAAUAUUAUUCUGGGUUUGUUUGUGAGGGUGUUUCUGGAUGAGAUUAACAUUUGAGUCAGUACACUGAGUCGAGUAGGCUACCCUCCAUCAUGCAGGUGGUCCUUGUUUAAUUAAUAAAAGGCCUGAAUAGAACAAAAAGGCUGACCCUCUUGCAAGUCAGAGGGAAUGCCUCUUGUUUGGCUGCUUGAACUGGAGCAUCAAUCUUUUCCUGCUUUUGGACUUGAAUUGAAAUAUUGGCUUUUAUUGAGUCUUGAGCCUUGAGCCUGCCAGCUUUUGGACUACAAUUAUGUCAUCAGCUUUCCUAGGGAAUGUUAUGGACUGAAUUGUGUCCCCCUAAAAUUCAUAUGUUGAAGAUCUAAUUCCCAAUGUGACUGCACUUUGAGAUAGGGCUCUUAGGAGGAGAUUAAGAUUAAAUUAAGUCAGAGGGUGGGGUUCUAAUUGGACAGGAUUGGUGGCCUUAUAAGAAGAAGGGAGAGAGAGAAAUCUUUCUCUCUCUCUCUGCCAUGUGAAGACACAGCAAGAAGGUGGCUGUCUGUAAGCCAGGAAGAGAGCCCUCACCAGAAAACCAUACUGGCACCCUAACCUCAGACUUCCAAACUCUAGAACUCUGAGAAAAUUGUUCUGUUGUUUAAGCCACCCAGUCUGUUGUAUCUUGUUAUGGCAGCCCAAGCUGACUAAUACACAUUUUAUUACCCCAUGUAAUAAAAGUAAUUUAAGUACCCAGUGUAAAAUAAAUAUAAAUGCCUAGUGUAGAAUUGUUCUCUUCCUCAGAUAAGACCAUGGUAAGCAGCUCCUUGUACAUUUUUAUAAAAAGUAUGUAUGCAUAUAUAAGAAUGUAUCUUUUCUGUAAAAACAAAACAAAACAAAACAACACAACACAACACAUACAGAAUCAUGCUAUACAUACUGUUAUACAUCUUGCUUUCUUCACCUAAAAAUCUUCUUUGGCGAUCACUCUUUAUCAGUAGUAUGAUCAUAUGUCCCAGUUUGCCUGGGCCAGUCCUGGUUUACAGUUUUUGUCCCAGUGUAAUUAUCAGUAGAAUCCCUUCCCACUCUCAAAAGAAUCCUGGUUUGGAUAAAUCUCAUAGUCACUCUAUUUAUCAGGCAAAAUGAAUCUGCCUUUUUGCUUUUAGUAAGUUUCAUGGAAUGGCGUAUCACAGAUACGUCAACUGUAACUAAAUCAUCUAUUUAUGAAUAGUUAUUCCUAGUUUUUUUUUUGUUUUUUUUUUUUUAUGGAGGCUUGCUCUCUCCCAGGCUGAAGUGCAGUGGCAUGACCUCUGCAACCUCUGCCUCCCAGUUUCAAGUGAUUCUUGUGCCUCAGCCUCCGGAAUAGGUGGGAUUACAGGGGCCUGCCACUAGGCCCAGCUAAUUUUUGUAUUUUUAGUAGAGACGGGGUUUUGCCAGGUUGCCCAGGCUGGUCUCAAACUCUUGGGCUCAAGCGAUCCACCCACCUCGGCCUCCCAAAGUUCUGGGAUUACAGGCGUGAGCCACCUUGCCUGGCCCUUAGUUUUUAACUAUUACAAAGAAUUCAGCAGGGAGCCUCCUUCCUCAUUCCCUUGAACCCCUGUGAGAGCACAUGUGGAAGGCAAAUUCUAGCAGUGAAAAUUUCUGGGUCAAGAGUUUGUGCCUUUUACACUUUUCUGUAAAAUAAUAUUAUUUAUUUAUUUAUUUAUUUAUUUAUUUAUUUAUUUAUUGAGAUAGAGUCUCACUCUGUUGCCCAGGCUGGAGUGCAGUGGCAAAAUCUUGGCUCACUACAACCUUUGCCUCCUGGGUUCAGGUGAUUCUCCUGCCUCAGCCCCUCGAGUAGCUUGGACCACAGGCGUGCGCCACCACGCCGUGCUCAUUUUUUUUUUAUUUUUAGUAGAGAUGGGUUUCCGCAUGUUGGCCAGGCUGGUCUUGAACUCCCGACCUCAAAUUAUCCGUCCACCUUGGCCUCCCAAGUGCUGAGAUUACAGUCAUGAGCCACCACCCUAGGCCAAAAUAAUAUUUUUAUUUACUUUUUAAUUGAAGUGUAAUACGGCAGAUCUUCAAACAAUGUUGUUGUUUCAUUAUAACAUUGAUGAGAAUAAAAUGGAUUCCCUGCUGGGGCUGCUGUCUGUGUGGAAUUUGCAUGUUUCCCCCAUGUCUGCGUGGUUUUCUCCGGGUAUUCCGGUUUCCUCCCACAUCCCAAAGCUGUACCCGUGAUGCUCAUUGGUGUGCCUCAAUGGUCCCAGUCUGAGUGAGAGUGGGUGUGUGUGUGAGUGUGUCCUGCGAUAGGAUGGUGUCCUGGCCAGGAUGGGUUCCUGCCUUGUACCCCAAGCUGCCGGGAUGGGCUCUGGCAACCAGAGAUCCUGAACUGGAAUAAGCGGGUAAAUAGUGAUCGUACUUGAUUUUAUUAAUCUUCCUUAAAUGUACUUAUAUGUAGCUCACAUUUAUUUAAACAUUUCAUAUUAGAAGUGUUUUUGUCUUUAUUUAGAAGCUGUUUCUGCGACCAGAAAUAUGCCGAAGGAACUUAACUCUUGUUUAUACCCAUUAGCCUAUGGUAAAAUUGGUUUCACCUAAAGUCUCAGUUUCCAAGAACCUACCGGGGAAGUUGUAAAGACUUACUGCAUUUCAUUGUAUGACUAUGCCAAUUUAUUCAUCCACCAUUGACAUUUUGAACUCUAGCCAAAUUCUUCUUCAUGUGGGAGGAACUUCAGGCAGAGGAGCCAACCCAGGUGAACCAACCCAGAUAGCUCUGCACACCUGCCUCACUCAGAGCCCAGGUCCUCCCACAGCUCUUUGGACGGAUCAGGUCAUUGCCCUCCUCACACAGUUCCAGUAGAUUUCCUGCCUGGCUCCUUUCCUUCUCCUGAGGGUACCAAGCCCUCUUCCUCCAGAACGCAUUGGCUGACUCUUCCACCACCGUGCCCACGGCGGGAGGGAACUUCUGGGGAUCCCCACAGCAUUCCCUACUUCUCAUGUCCCUGCACACAUCACUUGGAAUUGUAAUCCCUUCUUUAAUUCCCAUAUUUCCAGUUGGACUGUAUUUAUUUCCUAUUGCUACUAUGAGAAGUUACCACAAAGUCAGUGGAUUAGAAAGUAUACAUUUAAUGUUCUAUAGUUCUAGAGGUCAGAAGUCUGAAAUGAUUCUCACUGGGCUAAAAUCAUGGUGUCAGGUGUUCCUUCUGGAGGCUCUAGGGGAGAAACUUUUCUUGCCUUUUCUGGCCUUUAGAGACUGCCCUUGUUCCUAGGUUCCCUGGCCAUCUUCAAAGCCAUCAGUGGCUGAUCAAGUCUUUCUCAUAUCACAUCAUUUUAACACUGAACUUCCAUGUUUAAGGAUCCUGUGAUCCCACUGGGCCCGCCUGGAUAAUCCAGGAUAAUCUCCUGAUUUUUUUUUUUUUUUUUUUUUUUUUUGAGGCAGGGUCUCACUCUAUCGCCCAGGCUGGAGUGCUUGUGGCACAAUUACGGCUCACUGAAGCCUUGACCUCCUGAGCUCAAGCAAUCCUCCCAUCUCAGCCUCUCAAGUAAGUGGGACUACAGGCACGUGCCACCAUGCCUGGUUAAUUUUUUUAAAAAAAUUUGCAGAAACGAGGUCUCACUAUGUUGCCUAGCUGGUCACGGAACUCCUGACCUCGCGGGAUCCUCCCACCUCAGCCUCCCAAAGUGCUAUGAUUACAAGUAUGAGCCACCACACUCAGCCAAUCUCCCUAUUUCAAAGUCAGUUAAUUAGCAACCUUAGUUCUGCUUAUAAUCUAAAUUCCCCCUUGCCAUGUAGCAUAGCAAAGUCAUAGCAUCUGAGGAUAAGAAUGUGUACGUCUCCAGGAGCCAUUAUUCUGCUUACCACAGACUCCAAGCUCUGUGAGGACAGAAAUUAUAUCUCACUUUUUUUUAAGAUGGAGUCUUGCUCUGUCGCCCAG